rnacentral:rRNA from 1 species
CCUACGGGAGGCAGCAGUAGGGGAAUUUUUCCGCAAUGGGCGAAAGCCUGACGGAGCAAUACCGCGUGAGGGAUGACGGCCUGUGGGUUGUAAACCUCUUUUCUCAAGGAAGAAGUUCUGACGGUACUUGAGGAAUAAGCAUCGGCUAACUCUGUGCCAGCAGCCGCGGUAAUACAGAGGAUGCAAGCGUUAUCCGGAAUCACUGGGCAUAAAGCGUCUGUAGGUUGUUUAGUAAGUCUGCUGUUAAAGACUGGGGCUUAACCCCAGAAAAGCAGUGGAAACUGCUAGACUCGAGUGUGGUAGAGGUAGAGGGAAUUCCUAGUGUAGCGGUGAAAUGCGUAGAUAUUAGGAAGAACACCAAUGGCGAAGGCACUCUACUGGGCCAUAACUGACACUGAGAGACGACAGCUAGGGGAGCAAACGGGAUUAGAUACCCCGGUAGUCCUAGCCGUAAACGAUGGAUACUAGAUGUUGCACGUAUUAACCCGUGCAGUAUCGUAGCUAAGGCGUUAAGCAUCCGCCUGGGAAGUCGCUCGCAAGAGUGAAACUUAAAUGAAUUGACGG